rnacentral:rRNA from 1 species
GGAGUCUGGGCCGUAUCUCAGUCCCAAUGUGCCCGGUCGCCCUCUCAGGCCGGGUACCCGUCGUCGCCUUGGUGGGCCUUUACCCCGCCAACAAGCUGAUGGGCCGCAGGCCGCUCCCCCGGCGGAGCCGAGGCUCCUUUCCUCCCGUAGCUCCAGCCUACGGGACCGUAUCCGGUAUUACCCUGUGUUUCCACAGGCUAUCCCCGCCCGGGGGGUGCGUCACCCACGCGUUACUCACCAGUCCGCCGCUCUGGGGCAGUGCAAGCACUGCCUUGCCGCCCGACUUGCAUGCUUAAGACGCGCCGCCAGCGUUCGUU